rnacentral:ncRNA from 24 species
UGAAUAAUGAUGUUAUCAGGUGACGCAGGUCUUAAUAGAGAAGCUGGGUGUAAAGCCCACACGAUCCCGUCGCUGUAAAAGUGAGCAAAUCCAUAUUUAUGUCACUGGAGUUAUCCGGGAAGGCUUGGAGGAGCGAUGAACUUGAGUCAGAAGAACUGCCUGAUGAUUAAUUUACUGC